rnacentral:rRNA from 1 species
GAGUUUGAUCAUGGCUCAGGACGAACGCUGGCGGCACGCUUAACACAUGCAAGUCGAACGAGAACUUCGGAGCUUGCUCCGAGGGGACAGUGGCGAACGGGUGAGUAACACGUGAGGAACCUGCCCCGAAGACCGGGAUAACACCGGGAAACCGGUGCUAAUACCGGAUGCCCUCUCCGGAUCGCAUGAUCUGGCGAGGAAAUGGAUUCCGCUUCGGGAUGGCCUCGCGGCCUAUCAGCUUGUUGGUGGGGUAACGGCCUACCAAGGCUUCGACGGGUAGCUGGUCUGAGAGGAUGUCCAGCCACACUGGGACUGAGACACGGCCCAGACUCCUACGGGAGGCAGCAGUGGGGAAUCUUGCGCAAUGGGCGAAAGCCUGACGCAGCGAUGCCGCGUGCGGGAUGAAGGCCUUCGGGUUGUAAACCGCUUUCAGCAGGGACGAAAUUGACGGUACCUGCAGAAGAAGCCCCGGCCAACUACGUGCCAGCAGCCGCGG